UGAGGAGGUGGAGGAGAUAUGAGGAGAUAUGAGGAGGUUGGAGGAGAUAUGAGGAGGUUGAGGAGGUUGAGGAGGUGGAGGAGAUAUGAGGAGAUAUGAGGAGGUUGAGGAGAUAUGAGGAGGUGGAGGAUAUAUGAGGAGAUAUGAAUGGGUUGAGGAGAUAUGAGGAGGUUGAGGAGAUAUGAGGAGGUUGAGGAGGUUGAGGAGAUAUGAGGAGGUUGAGGAGAUAUGAGGAGAUAUGAGGAGGUGUUGAUUUGCUUAAACAAGCUCUUUUCUGCUGAGUCUUCGCCUCCUGCUUCUGUCACACCUCCUAAAACUCUCCGUCUGAACGAACGACGAUGCCAGCGGUUCUCCGACAGCCAGCCAGCGAAUGAAGCAGUUUUCUGUCUGUCUGCUGCCUCGAUGAAUAUUUAAAACCUCCGACUCACACAGGAGUUUUACUGUUGAGGAGAAACUGAAGGUGCAGACUCUCUUUAUUGCAGCUGAACCCAUCUGAGGAUUCCUCCAUUAAUCCAUAAACAUCAGUUCAUUUAAACCUUCAGUGGAAGACGGGACGGUUUGUCCUCACUGGCUGUCACCUUACGUUCACUCCUUCAUCCUCUCAUUGUGCCGCUCACGUUAAAUAACUCGUCUGCUGGCUCCGAGGACGAAGAGGGUUCGGGGUGGGUCGGAUACAGAAAGGAUCAUUCGUGCUUUAUUCUGAAAGCGGAAGGUCUCAGUUGGUUUGUUGGGAUUUGGAGGGUCUUUUAAUCUAUUGUUUUUUAUUUGGUACAACAGAGUAUUAGGGCCAGAAAUAUGAGGGGGGAAGAUUUAAAAAACAGAAACAUUUUGAGAGAAUAAAGUCAAAAGUCUGCCUGUGUUGUAUCGGAGCCUCUCUGUGGUUUGUUUUUAUCUGCAAGGUAAAAUCACUGGUUUUGUGAAUGGAGUCUGGUUGUAGCGCCUACUGUUGGAGCUAUAGUGCGACACCUAGUGGCUCAUUAUUUACUGUUGGGACAUUUAACCUACAGCGAUACAUCAUUUUCUAUAAGUUCGUCAUAUGUUUAAAUAACCUGUGUACGAAUCAGAGCUAAAGUAGCAUUUAGCAGCUACACACACAGCUAGCAUAGCAACAUAAACACUUAUAUUUGAGGCUGAAUGAGGCGUUCACUGCCCUCUGGGUGGAGGAAUCAUUUGACCUCCUCUCUCUGUGACUGAUGCCGUCGCCUCCCUGCCUGACAGCCUGUUUUGUCUGCGGUGUGAGUGACCAAGAAGAGAGGCCCUCCGAGGGGCCCCGGGGCCAGCGGGAGGUCAGUCUUUAUCAGGCAGAUAACCUCUCACCUGUCACAGGACCGUCCACACGGCCAGGCGUCCAGCGUGAUCAUUGACCUCCGACCUCUGCGGGAUAAACAGAGGAGGGUCUCU